CAUGUCAGCGGUCUUUGCUGACGUGGACACAAAUCGCGUCCUCUGAAGCACGAUUUGUUGCCAUGUCAGCAAAGCGCGCUGACGUGG
rfam:Gossypium raimondii Chr10_contig_1019, whole genome shotgun sequence.